AUAUUAAUAAGCCCAGGAAAAGAAACUAACUAGGAUUCCCUUAGUAAUGGCGAAUGAAACGGGAAAAGCUCAGGUUUAAAAUCUAAUAGUAUUUCACUGUUAGAGUUGUAGUCUUUUAAGUAGUCUUCAGAGUAUUUGCUAGUAUAAGUGUUUUGGAAUAUACCGCCUAAGAGGGUGAUAGCCCCGUAAUAUGACUAGUAACUAAUAUUCUUCUAUGUUGAUUAUUUAUAGAGUCGGGUUGUUUGGGAAUGCAGCCUUAAGUAGGUGGU
rnacentral:rRNA from 1 species